CCUACGGGAGGCUGCAGUGAGGAAUAUUGGUCAAUGGACGGAAGUCUGAACCAGCCAUGCCGCGUGCAGGAAGACGGCUCUAUGAGUUGUAAACUGCUUUUGUACAAGGGUAAACCUGAAUACGUGUAUUCAGCUGAAAGUACUGUACGAAUAAGGAUCGGCUAACUCCGUGCCAGCAGCCGCGGUAAUACGGAGGAUCCAAGCGUUAUCCGGAUUUAUUGGGUUUAAAGGGUGCGUAGGCGGAUUGAUAAGUUAGAGGUGAAAUGUCCGAGCUUAACUCGGGAACUGCCUCUAAUACUGUUGAUCUAGAGAGUAGAUGCGGUAGGCGGAAUGUAUGGUGUAGCUGUGAAAUGCUUAGAGAUCAUACAGAACACCGAUUGCGAAGGCAGCUUACCAAUCUAUAUCUGACGUUGAGGCACGAAAGCGUGGGGAGCAAACAGGAUUAGAUACCCCUGUAGUC
rnacentral:rRNA from 1 species